rnacentral:rRNA from 1 species
UGCUAUAUGAACCCUAAUAUAAAGUAAUCUCCUGCCCAAUGAUUUAUUUAAUGGCCGCGGUAUCCUAACCGUGCAAAGGUAGCAUAAUAAUUUGUCCAUUAAUUGUGGGCUUGAAUGAAGGGGGUAACAAAAUAAGAACUGUCUACGAUACUAUUAUAUAUAAACUAUUUUAAAAGUGAAGAUUCUUUUAUUUAUUUAAAGGACAAGAAGACCCUAUAGAACUUAAUUAUACACAUUAUUCAAUAUAAUUCUCAAUUCGGUUGGGGCGACCUAGGAAAACCCAUCCUAAUAACUAUGAUAUAUUAAUCAAUUCACUGAUCCAUACUAUGAACAUCAAACCAAGCUACCUUAGGGAUAACAGGCUAAUCCUUCUCUAGAGUUCUUAUCAACAGAAGGGAUUGGCACCUCGAUGUUGGCUUAGAUUCCAUUGUAAUGUAGAAGUUACAAAAUGGUGGUUUGUUCAACCUAUCACCAUCU